CCCAUCUUCCUUGAAAAAUCAGUUUCCCCAGAUUUCCCAAGAACUUCUAUUUCCUCCUGGCUCCCUCUUACGACCAAUCGACUUCUCCAGAUAUAUUCCUCUCCCCUACCAAAAUUGUGAAAUGCAAAAUCGAUUAGAGAGAUGUCCAUGGCUGGUUACAGUCGACUUCACAAUAUCGAGGACCACCAAGGGUCGGUGUCACACGCCGCCGUGAAUGCGUGACUUGAAUCUCGGUCCCGCUAAAUGAAAUCGACGGUGUGAUUUUGAUUUUGUGGAUGACGAAACACCUCCAGAUUCAUUUUACUGAUGCCGUGGUUUAUGAUAUGAGUUCUCAUGCCGUCACAGAUUCAUUUUGCUGAACUUUCCAAGUAUAGGCCAAGAGAUAUCUAAACCCAAGAAAGUAGACCAACAAUACUACAUGUGCAUAUCUGGGAAGUUGAUGAGCGAGGUCAGUAUAUGCAAUGGAUUUAGACAGAGGAGAAGGACAUGGUGGGGCAAUUCUUUCGAUUUUCAGCUUGCUAAUGACUCUUGAGAGGUAUAAGAAAUGCAAUUAUGGAGCACCUAAGAUCAAUGUGUAUGCUAGGGAGGCAUGGGUUUGUGGAGGUAAAGAUGAUUAAAGGGUGCUUAUGACAUGCAAAAAGUUAAACUCAUCUGUAUCAACGCCAGGUGUCCACGUCAGCUAGGAGGUACUGAAUGCGGCUACUAUGCGAUGGAGUUCAUGAAGAAGAUAGCUUACAAAGGAGUUGAAAUACUUGACAAUGAUAAUUUAAGUUUAGGUUGGGAAGGGAGUAAAGGAAUACUCGAUUGCGGAUAUGGAUGACAUCCACGAAGAUUGGUCGACUUAUGCGGUUACAUCUAUUUUUAAGUGACAAAUCGUAUUUUAGGUGUUGACAAUGUAUUGACAAACAAUUUUUUUUGUUAGCGUUAAUUUAUUGUAAGUAUACUUGACAAAUGAUUAUG